CCUACGUGUGGCAGCAGUGGGGAAUAUUGCGCAAUGGGCGAAAGCCUGACGCAGCGACGCCGCGUGAGGGAUGAAGGUCUUCGGAUCGUAAACCUCUGUCAGCAGGGAAGAACGGUCACUGUGCUAAUCAGCAGUGAAUUGACGGUACCUGCAAAGGAAGCAACGGCUAACUCCGUGCCAGCAGCCGCGGUAAGACUGAGGGUGCGAGCGUAAAUCGGAAUUACUGGGCGUAAAGCGCUCGUAGGCGGUAUGUCAAGUCAAGGGUGAAAUCCCCGCGGGCAACGUGGGAACUGCCUUUUAAACGGGCGACAUGGAGUGUGUGAGAGGAUAGUGGAAUUCCAGGUGUAGGAGUAAAAUCCGGAGAUAUCUGGAGGAACAUCAGUGGCGAAGGCGACGAUCUGGCACAUAACUGACGCUGAGGAGCGAAAGCGUGGGUAGCAAACAGGAUUAGAUACCCUAGUAGUC
rnacentral:rRNA from 1 species